rnacentral:lncRNA from 1 species
ACCCCUUCUGUAUAAAAGUUUGAAAGAUCCAGAUAAUCCUAAAGAAAAAGAUCUGACCAAAGACAUAAUGCAAGCUCGUUUGGGUAGAAUAUUUUUAGAUGUUUCUGGGAAUCAUCUUCUCCUCAGCUUGUUGCCAAGGUUACCCAAUGGAGAACAUGAAUUAUUGUACUUCAACCUUAUUUCGUCUGAAAACAAGAGCCCCUCAAGACUGCAGCUUAAGAAUACCGAAGUAACAGCUAUUGCUUGGUGUCACAAAUCUCGGCCUAACCAGUUGGUAAACAGUGGUCCAUUUUAUUGGGAUCAUCUUUAGUGUAAUUUAUGAAGCAGAUUUGAACGCCAGUAGUGAUACAUUCCGCAAUGCUUACUUAGCUCAAUCAACCUUUGACAGGAGAGAAGUAAGUAUGUUUAGAUUUUUUAUCUCUCUCUGAAGUGG